rnacentral:rRNA from 1 species
UACGUAGGACCCAAGCGUUAUCCGGAUUUACUGGGCGUAAAGAGUUGCGUAGGUGGUCUGUUAAGUAAAUAGUGAAACUGUGUGGCUCAACCAUGCACCCAUUAUUUAAACUGGCAGACUUGAGAGCGAGAGAGGUAGAUGGAAUUGCUAGUGUAGGAGUGGAAUCCGUAGAUAUUAGCAGGAACACCGAUGGCGUAGGCAGUCUACUGGCUCGUUUCUGACACUAAGGCACGAAAGCGUGGGGAGCAAACAGG